rnacentral:ncRNA from 1 species
AAUAAAAAAUUUUUUAUGGUUUAAAUUAAAUUUAUUAAAAAUUUAUUUUACAUAUAAAUUUUAGUGUUUAUUUUUAAUUAUUUAAAUAAUAAUUAAUUUAUUAAAUAUAGUAAUUGAUAUUAAAAAUUUAAGAAAUUAAGAUUUAGUAAUAUUUAAAUUAAUAACAAAUUUUGUGCCAGCAGUUGCGGUUAAACAAAAGUUAAAUUAAAUUUUAUUAGGAAUUAAUUAUUUAUUUAAAUUUUAAAAUAAUUAAAUAUUAAAUUAUUAGGUGAAAUUUUAAUUUAAGAAAAAUUUUUUUGAAAAGAUUUAAUAAAGUUUUUUUAAAAACUAGGAUUAGAUACCCUAUUAUUAAAAAUUAAAAAGAUAAUACUAAAUUAUUAGAUAAUUAUUUAUUGAAAUUUAAAUAAUUUGGCGGUAUUUUAGUUCAUUUAGAGGAAUCUGUUUAAUAAUUGAUAAUCCACGAAUAAAUUUACUUAAUUUAAAAUUUUGUAUAUCGUUGUUAUAAAAAUAUUUUUAAAUAAUACAAUAAUAUUUAAAAAUUUAAAUAAAAAAUUAAAUUAGAUCAAGAUGCAGAUUAUAAUUAAGAAUAUAAUGGAUUACAAUAAAUUUAUUUAAAAUGAAUAUUAAUUUUAAAUAAUUAAUUGAAGGUGGAUUUAAAUGUAAUUUUAUUUAGUUUAUUAAAAUGAUUAAAAAUUAAAAUAUGUACAUAUUGCCCGUCGCUUUCAUAUAUAAAUUGAAAUAAGUCGUAACAAAGUAGAGGUACUGGAAAGUGUUUCUAGAAAUAU